AUUGAACGCUGGCGGCGUGCUUAACACAUGCAAGUCGAACGAUGAACUUGGAGCUUGCUCUGGGGGAUUAGUGGCGAACGGGUGAGUAACACGUGAGUAACCUGCCCUUGACUCUGGGAUAACUUCGAGAAAUCGGAGCUAAUACCGGAUAUGACCUUGCACCGCAGGGUGUGGGGUGGAAAGGUUUUCGGUUUGGGGUGGACCCGCGGCCUAUCAGCUUGUUGGUGAGGUAAUGGCUCACCAAGGCGUCGACGGGUAGCCGGCCUGAGAGGGUGACCGGCCACACUGGGACUGAGACACGGCCCAGACUCCUACGGGAGGCAGCAGUGGGGAAUAUUGCACAAUGGGCGCAAGCCUGAUGCAGCAACGCCGCGUGCGGGAUGACGGCCUUCGGGUUGUAAACCGCUUUUAGUAGGGAAGAAGCCUUCGGGUGACGGUACCUGCAGAAAAAGGACCGGCUAACUACGUGCCAGCCGCCGCUGUAAUAC
rnacentral:rRNA from 1 species